rnacentral:lncRNA from 1 species
UUUUUCUCAACUGCUGAGAGAUUUCCUUAACUGCCUUGAGGAAAUCUUAUCUGCUUCUCAACUACUGAGAGAUUUCCUCAACUGCCUUGAGGAAAUCUUAUCUGCUUAUCAGUUUCCAGGUUCAUCAUUGAUCAAAUCAGACGAUUCGGAGUGGUUCUUCUUCUCGCCGAAGGACCAGAAAUACCUCACUGGCAACCGUUCCAACCGAGCUACCAAGGCUGGCUACUGGAAAGCCACAGGGAAGGAUCGGAUGAUCGGGUCCAUAUCUCGGGUUCCUACAAUCAGAGGCACGAAGAAGAAGACCCUUGUGUUUUACCAAGACUGUGCCCCCAGGGGGCGUUCCCACUAAUUGGAUCAGACGAUCUCAGAUUUGGAUUUGAAUAACUGGUUUUAUUACGGGAUUUGAGUGAUUGAUCGAGAAAAUUUUCGAUCUCAAAAUCUGUGUAAAUACUUAUUAUAUCAAUGAAUAAAAAUCGUCUAUUUCACCAAUUUAUUUCUCAAUUUAACAUGGUAUCGAGUUUCUCGUUGUCCGACGUCACCCCGCUGCCAGUUUUCUCCUCCCUACGCCGGCGGUCCUUCUGCUGGUUACCGCCGUCGAUCGGCUGCAGCAACCUCCCUCUGCCUUGUCGCAGCCACCUUCUCCUCCCUACGUCGGCGUCUUCCCCUCUCCUCCCUGAGCCGGCGGCUUUCUUUGCGGCCGCCUGCUCCAGACGGCUGAGUACGGCGGGAGAAGCGGUCGGUGAGACGCGCACGCAUCUCACAGAUCCUACCCCCUCCCAUCUCGAUCGGCGACGACCGCAGCUUCCUACUCUUCUUCUCUUCUCCUCCGACCUCGGUCGAUCUUCCUCACCGACGGAUCGCAGGAGGCGACUCCCACCGUCUUCUUUUCCAGCGGUGGUUGUUCUCCCAGCGGCGACUCGCUUUCUUCGCAACAGCGACUGCCGCGUUUCCUCGGCGAACGGCGGCUGUCUUCCUCUCCAUCGGCGUUACGGUAGAGGCGGCGUCUCUGCCCCCCGCUGCCAUUCCGCUCUCUACCGGCGAAGCGCUCUGUGCCCCGAGCGCCCCCGCUCACCUUCUUCCUCACCGUCCGCCGCAACUUGGUCGGCGGCCUGAUCUCUUCGCCGCCAACCAAAUCACAGCCGGCGGACUUCAAGCCACCGCGACAGCCUGCUCUCCGCCGUCGAUCUUCGUCACCGGCAAAUAGCAGGAGGCGAGCGCAGUGAAGAAACAUCUUGCUCGGCGGUCUCUUCACUUCGCCGUCGAGCAGAAGCAUGAGACAAGUGCCCCCCACCUUCUUUCUGCGGCGGCAAAGCCGAACCUUCUCCUCCUGGCCGCAAGCGUCUCCCUUUUCUUCCUCACCGGCCGUCGAGAGCCCGCCAACACCUCUCGGCGGUUGCACGGCAGCAGGCUGAGCGCCCGCCGCCUCCUCUGGACCGUGCGGUCUUCUUCGGUUGUGCAAUUUGAUCCGUCAGAUCGAGAUAGACAGCAGCCUCCCCUCUUCCGCAAUUUGAUAAGCUAUACAAUUGUUGUUCCUGAACGAAACAAUUCACCGAUCUCCUGUUUGAUAUCAUCUAUUAGCCUACACAAGUGACUUUUUUAAUUAUUCAUUUAAUUAUUCAUAAGAAAAUAUUGGAGAUUCCAAUCCAUUAGUAAAUCCUCGUCAUAAUUAUGAUAAAAUCAUUUUAUUUUAUGAGUAAUUCAAGAUUCGAUCGUUAAUCCAUUGCAUUCUAAUUAUUAUGGCGGACUAUGACCUCUGAUACGUGGUUUUUGUCAACACAUUGCAGGAUCUUCGUCAUUUCUAUUCGCUUGUUUGACAAUCGAAGCACAAUUUUAUGAUAAUAUGUUGUCUAGCAGCUCCUAAAGUCCAUCGACUUCGUUGAAGUUGGUGUUAUCUGGAUCCUGAGUCUCUACUCCCAGUAUAAUCUCCAUCGCACAUCGCUUACUUCACAACAACUCGAAUGGUAGUAUUAUGAUAUAUUAUUCAAGAAUACUCACAUUCGCAUUCUCUUGUCUCGUGUCAAGAUCUUCUGGCCUCAACUUCGUCUCUGUAAGUUGAAUUAUCUUAGUUCCUCUAUCAAAUGCUUCUUCGAGAUAAGGUGCAUAUGUCUUGAAGCUCCCUUCAUCUUUGGUAUCAUAGGAUGAGUCUGCUCCAUCAGAGUGAGGGACCUAUAGAACAACAUGAUAUUAUUCUUAUCUUUGCAAGAGUUCAUGUUUUGAUCUUUGUCCAAUGAAAGCUUCAUGCCUUUGCUCCAUAUUUCGUCUUCUAUGUCGACUCCCUUUAUACAGCUUGGGUACUUCACCAAGUUCCACCCAGGUUACUUCGUCCCUUAAUUAGCAUUGAGUUGAUGGUGGCUCUUGCACCUACCAUUCCACGGGUCGACCUUCCAUUGAGUCUAAUUUCUAUAUCGACUCUAAGUGUAUCUUCAUCUGGUGUUACCUUGAGUCACUCCUUCACUUGAUCUUGUAAUACAUCCACUAAUGCAUUACCGUCAAGUUUAGUUGUCAAUAUCGAGUCAUAGUUCGAACUUAAUCAUCCCAACCUUUGUAUGUUAUAUGUUCUUCCUAGCUCGCUUGUCCUUGUGGUGCUUCUUGUGCGAAUGAUUGACUAUUCUUCUGAAUACCAAUCUUGGAUGCUUGCUUAUCUUAGAGACUUCUUUCACUAUACCUUAAUACCUAUUUCUUCUAAAUAGUCAUGCAUUCUGGCUGCCCUCAACGCAAUCCUGCUAAGUCUCAAACAUUUGCAUGCCAAGUGUUUAUGAGUAUGCUUUUCUUGCUCUGAUAUCAUAUGUUAUGCUUAAGUCGUGCGACACAUUUGUGUAUCUAUCCACAAAGAAUUAGUUUUCCUAAAACCUCUUAUGAUCAUUUAAGGACCUACAAAAAAAGAAAAUUGAUUAGAGAAAGCAUUUCACUCAAAUUCCACGAGUAGUCGUUUCAAUAAACACAUGAUAAUCAAUGCAAAUUAUAAACAUGGACAUCGUAAACUCUAAAUGAUCGUACGACAAAUGAUCCAAGAUGGUCCACCACAGAUCAAACAAAAUGAGACCGCUAAGUCUAUUGCUAACGCUCUAUAAAGCAUGAACAAAAUAUUAUUUUUAUAAUUAUAUCAUUGGUAAUUUAUUGGAUAAAAUAGUAAUAUUAAUUUUAAUUAAUUAAUUUUGAGUUAACUCAUAUAAAUCGUUAUGUUACUAUUUGAAUUUGAUUCAACAAAAUCUGUCAUAUUCUAAUAAGAAAUUAACAAACACCGAUGUUAUUAAUUAUAUUUAGUUGAUCAUAUUUGGAUGCACUAUAGUUUCACUGGUUUAAUCGUAACUUAUAUUGAGAGUUUAUGAUCUUGAUUCAUCAUUCUACUUAUAUAUUGGUAGCUUUCCGUAUUCAUUAUAUCUUGAAGAAUAUAUCCUAUUCGUAGGGAUCUUUGAUGAAAAGAUUUCUUUUUUAACAUCAAGAGAGACAUAUUCAUCCUACCGAUGAAUUGAUGCCUUUUUUUUCUUCCUAUCCAUCGAGAAGGAUCUUAUCAAAGUUGUAAGAGUGUUGUUACCUUUAUUAUCUCUUAUAUAUUUCUUUACAUCUCUUCACUUGGGAUGAAUGGAAACAACUUUCUUAUAAAAAGAACAAGGCAUAAAUGAAAGAGUGAGCUGAUUCAUACUGGCACUAAUGUGGUCAAUACAAACCUUCUGACUUGCUGGGUCCCAAUUGUGGCCAAUCAAGAGGCAGGGAGGCGAGUGGGUACCACCAAUACACUGGUCGGAAAGGGACGCUUCUACUGGACGGCCAGUCGAGGUAGUGACUUGCGUCGAUGGAUCUGAUGCCGCGCGACGUCAUCAUCACCAACCCUUCGUCUCGAAGGAAAGCCUGAACCAAAUAUCUACCGUCCGAUCUCCAUCCAACGGCCAGAUAGCCGUCUUCGACGUGUUCAUCCCGCGUUCCCUUUCCGCUGCCACCGCGGGCCCCGCAGUCUCUCUUCAACCUUACGUGAAGGGAGCUUAUGGUCAUAUCACAACAACGGAUUUGUUGCCGCACAAAAUGUGGCCUAUAAAAAAGGUGGGAAGAAAGAUCCCAAGCGAGCGCGUUUUUUAUCUCUCCUUCUGUUGAACAUUGUUUUCUGUAAGAAUUUUGUUGGGUUUUUUAUCUCCCUCUAGGGUUCUUGAGAUCCUAUCUCGGUCUCCUAUGCUCUCUGAUCUCUGCGAUACAGCUGAAGUAGUGGUUGGAUGGUGAUUAGGGAAAUGGCUGUUCUGUCGGUGGAGUCCUUCCCGCUGGGCUUCCGAUUCCGUCCAACGGACGUGGAGCUCGUGAAUCAUUACCUCAAGGGAAAGAUCACUGGCCGGAUCAAGUCCGAGGACGAGGUCAUCUCCGAGAUAGAUAUCUGCAAGUGCGAGCCGUGGGACCUUCCGGGUGAUCCUCACGCACCCAAAUCUUACUUACUCCCUCUCCUCCUUGGUUUAAUUCAGGUUCUUGUUGUUAAAACCUCUUUUUUGUCUGUGAUUUGUGUUCAGUGUUUGUUUUCCCCAUUUUCUUUAGCAAAAAUUAGAUUUUCGGUGCGGACCUUACAGAUGUGUGUUGAAAUUUUCGAUCCUGCGUUUCGCGCUACAGUCAAUUCUUUGUUUCCCAUCUCUAACAGUAUAGUUUCCAGAUAUAUCAUUGAUCAAAUCGAGCGAUUCGGAGUGGUUCUUCUUCUCGCCGAAGGACCGGAAAUAUCCCAACGGCAACCGUUCCAACCGAGCUACGAAGGCUGGCUACUGGAAAGCCACAGGGAAGGAUCGGAUGAUCAGGUCCAUAUCUCGGG